rnacentral:rRNA from 1 species
UUUAUGGAGAGUUUGAUCCUGGCUCAGGAUGAACGCUGGCGGCGUGCCUAAUACAUGCAAGUCGAGCGAACGGACGAGAAGCUUGCUUCUCUGAUGUUAGCGGCGGACGGGUGAGUAACACGUGGAUAACCUACCUAUAAGACUGGGAUAACUUCGGGAAACCGGAGCUAAUACCGGAUAAUAUUUUGAACCGCAUGGUUCAAAAGUGAAAGACGGUCUUGCUGUCACUUAUAGAUGGAUCCGCGCUGCAUUAGCUAGUUGGUAAGGUAACGGCUUACCAAGGCAACGAUGCAUAGCCGACCUGAGAGGGUGAUCGGCCACACUGGAACUGAGACACGGUCCAGACUCCUACGGGAGGCAGCAGUAGGGAAUCUUCCGCAAUGGGCGAAAGCCUGACGGAGCAACGCCGCGUGAGUGAUGAAGGUCUUCGGAUCGUAAAACUCUGUUAUUAGGGAAGAACAUAUGUGUAAGUAACUGUGCACAUCUUGACGGUACCUAAUCAGAAAGCCACGGCUAACUACGUGCCAGCAGCCGCGGUAAUACGUAGGUGGCAAGCGUUAUCCGGAAUUAUUGGGCGUAAAGCGCGCGUAGGCGGUUUUUUAAGUCUGAUGUGAAAGCCCACGGCUCAACCGUGGAGGGUCAUUGGAAACUGGAAAACUUGAGUGCAGAAGAGGAAAGUGGAAUUCCAUGUGUAGCGGUGAAAUGUGCAGAGAUAUGGAGGAACACCAGUGGCGAAGGCGACUUUCUGGUCUGUAACUGACGCUGAUGUGCGAAAGCGUGGGGAUCAAACAGGAUUAGAUACCCUGGUAGUCCACGCCGUAAACGAUGAGUGCUAAGUGUUAGGGGUUUCCGCCCCUUAGUGCUGCAGCUAACGCAUUAAGCACUCCGCCUGGGGAGUACGACCGCAAGGUUGAAACUCAAAGGAAUUGACGGGGACCCGCACAAGCGGUGGAGCAUGUGGUUUAAUUCGAAGCAACGCGAAGAACCUUACCAAAUCUUGACAUCCUUUGACAACUCUAGAGAUAGAGCCUUCCCCUUCGGGGGACAAAGUGACAGGUGGUGCAUGGUUGUCGUCAGCUCGUGUCGUGAGAUGUUGGGUUAAGUCCCGCAACGAGCGCAACCCUUAAGCUUAGUUGCCAUCAUUAAGUUGGGCACUCUAAGUUGACUGCCGGUGACAAACCGGAGGAAGGUGGGGAUGACGUCAAAUCAUCAUGCCCCUUAUGAUUUGGGCUACACACGUGCUACAAUGGACAAUACAAAGGGCAGCGAAACCGCGAGGUCAAGCAAAUCCCAUAAAGUUGUUCUCAGUUCGGAUUGUAGUCUGCAACUCGACUACAUGAAGCUGGAAUCGCUAGUAAUCGUAGAUCAGCAUGCUACGGUGAAUACGUUCCCGGGUCUUGUACACACCGCCCGUCACACCACGAGAGUUUGUAACACCCGAAGCCGGUGGAGUAACCUUUUAGGAGCUAGCCGUCGAAGGUGGGACAAAUGAUUGGGGUGAAGUCGUAACAAGGUAGCCGUAUCGGAAGGUGCGGCUGGAUCACCUCCUUU